rnacentral:lncRNA from 1 species
CGCAGGGAUUGCCCCAACCACCCACGAUGCUGGAGAAAUGCCCGGAAGGCUUACCUCAAUUCACCCGGCUAAAGAAUCAACUCGCUCCUCCUCCUCUCCUCCCAGAUUCCACCGAAAGCCAAGAUUUUUCUUGGCUGGCAUCUCCAAGAGAUUAGUCAGUGUCAUUUAAUCUUAAGGAGAAUGUCCAGGGCACCUCAAUGAUUGUGAGGAAAUCAGGAGCAGAAGUGGAUCUGCUGGCCCUUCUGUGUCUAGUCGGGCUGCAAGAGCAGUCUCCCCGGAGACCAAGAGGUCAGUCAGGCUCUGGGCUCAGACCGCUUGGGUUCGAAUCCAAGUGCUGCCACUGCCUAGCCAGGUGACCCGGCAAGCUACUCAAACACCCUGGGCUUUCGUUACUCCAUGUGUACAGUGUUUGAAAGAGUGUCUGACAGGCACAUGGCAGGUGAUUAAUAAAUGCUGGCUGUUUUUAUCAUUACUACCCUCAUCAUCUGUGAGUCACCUUAUGACCUGAGUUAAAAGAAUAAAUAAUUAAGCCAUGCAUUUAGUUCUGCCAAAUAUUAAUUAUUAAAAUAAACUCACACUUUGGAGCAUGCCUGUGUGGCUAUGUGCCCAGCACUGUGAUAAGAACACAGCAGUCAUUUAAUGUUUUCAGCAAUGGGUGAGGUGGGACCACAUUGUGGAAAUGGAGACUGAGAGAAUCAUGAACUACUCAAGGGCACGCAGCUCAUAAGGAGAAAGGCCAUGGAUUCAUGCCAGUUCUUGGACCCCACACCCAUAUCCAAGCCACGGUCAGAUACUGCGUUCCUGUGCAACGGCUUGUUUAAAAAGCCAAGCUCAGCGCUUCAGCAGUGCGUCUCUGAAGCAGCGACUGUGAUUGUCCUCCCUCCUUUUGUCUUCUGUUCCUGGAAUCUGUUAAGAGCCGCAGGAGAUAAUUGGAAGCCAGCCCUCCCCAGGUGCUCAUCACAUAAGGAAAAGCAUUGUGACUGGCACGGCUCCUGCCACUCCCGCAGCUCCUGGCAGACCAGCAACUUUGAUUUAUUGCUCUACCAGUAAAUACUAGUAAAUAAGUGACAGAAAUGCCUUUCCCCCAGCAACUCCCCAGUGCCAUGAUAAUUAACUUGUUCUUCUUUCAUCCCUCUCUUACCAACCAUGAAGCAGCGACAUUCUCUGAUGAAUGAGUUGCCCACGACUAUCUUCCCAACAGGUGUUUCACAUAAAAGAUGAGCCGUCCCAGGAACAAUGCGAAGCAGGUGUUG